rnacentral:rRNA from 1 species
UACGGAGGAGGCAAGCGUUAUCCGGAAUUAUUGGGCGUAAAGCGUCCGCAGGUGGCACUUCAAGUCUGUCGUCAAAGACUGGGGCUUAACCCUGGAAAGGCGGUGGACACUGAAGCGCUAGAGUGUGGUAGGGGUAGAGGGAAUUCCCGGUGUAGCGGUGAAAUGCGCAGAUAUCAGGAGGAACACCAAUGGCGAAGGCAGCUCGCUGGGACGUGACUGACGCUGAGACGCGAAAGCGUGGGGAGCAAACAGG